GUUAACACCCCCUGAAACACAAGUCUAUAGACUUCAGUGAGAACAGUGCCCCCUAGAGUUGUGCGACUCAGCAGUCUAGAGCCAAAUAUCUGUGAAAGGAAGCCACAGGCGGCCUCCUCUCUCUGCUUAUGUUAUCGACCCACUAGCCUCUCUCCAAUCCUUUCAGCGCCUUCUAAUUCUGCAGCUCACAUUCUAAACCUUCCCUGUGUCAGGAUGGGGAAGCUGGCAUGAAGAACCGAGCUGAUUUUGUUUGUGGUUUCUGUUCAGACUCUGACAUCUUCUUUCAGAGAGAUGUGAGAAAGACACUUGAUAAGCUGUCGGCAGCAGUUUCUCCUAAGGGGUCUGCCAAAAACUGCGUGGGAUUUCAGGGUCUGGCUUACUUCGCCUUCUUCAGGUAAGCUUGUUUAUAAGAAGGAAACAUUUGUGCCGCUCAGCAGGUUUGAGAGACGCAGUGGGAAUGGCUGGUUAUUUGUCUUUUGAUCACAAAGCCUGGGGUUUGGCUCCAAGGCUGAUAGGUCUUGAGGCCUCUUUAUCUUCUCCCCUUGAGACUUUAAUCUCUCCUCUGACAUUCCUUUGGCCUAUGGGGGUGGCUGGGCAGUGGGGGAGGGGCUCUUGCAGGUGGACAAAGAUUCCUGGCUGGCCUCCUCACAGUAUCUGUCCUUAGCCUGACCUCCCACCAGGGACUGUGGUUCCUUCUGAGAUUGGCUUCAGAGCCUAACCUCUCCCUCUCCUUUGUCCCACAAACAACCCAAAGGAAGGGCAAACAAAGCCACCCACCCUCAGCAAAACCCCCGUACGCAUUUAUCUUGGGGAGCGAAUCUUUUGUGUUUUAAGCCACAUCUUAUCAUUUGCCUUUUAUGGAAUCUGAGAACUGAAGUGAGGUGAAGGGUCGCAGUGUGCGACUCGCUCAUUUUAUAGAUGAGGACACGGGGGUCCGCAGGGGGUCUGGGGCCUGCUGGAAUCACACAGCUUCUCCGCAAAGGUUGCUGGGCCAGUCCCCAGUUGUGUGAUCCCCCAGGCAUUCUGAGGGCCCCCCCGCAGCCCAGUGCGACAUGAGCUGCCCACGACUAGCCUUAAACCCCAGCAAGCAGUGAGUUUUCUUUGAAUCAGCAUGCAGCACCAUGCAGCGUUCCCCACAGGGGGACAUACUGAGAAAAUGAAAUUCAAAUCACCCCUCUGGUACGCUUUUCACUCCCUUUGCUGAUAAUGCACAGAGAGAAGCCGAUUCUGCAGGUGAAGAGGCGGCUGUUUUUAGAGCCACCCGGGCCUUUUUCCUGUCCCCAGGGCUCCUCAUGGGAGCCAUCGAGAGAAGCCUGGGGCUGCGGACACAGGCACCUCCAGGACCUUGCUCCUUGAUGCGGGCUUGCUUCCCCAGGUAGCUGAACAGCCUUUUAGGGUAUGUGGCUGCACCCACAUCCCUCCCAGUCACUAGGCUGAGUGAACACCGGCGUGCUCAGAGACCUCGAGAGAUUGUGAACUGAUCUUGAACUUGCUUCCUCUAGUCCUUCUGCUUCACAGUAGAUUGCUUUAUGUCUUUCUUUAAGAAAUAAACCAAAAUAAAUGAAAAGUCCUCAGUUUGGUGCAGUGAUUUUACUCAUGCAGAAAAACGUAAAGGUAAAAGAUGAAAUUGCAAGAGCAAACCUUUGUGCUCUCUGGGUCUCCUGGAAAAAGAGGGCGGGCAGGGCUUCUGUGCACGAGGCAGGAGCUGCUUUGGCAGAAAUGGAAAUGCUCCCCCAUCCUUGCUUCCACACUAAGUUGCUUCAUUAUAUUUUCAGGCGAGCGAGUCAUGGGUUCCUGGUGUGCGGUGCUGUCUUUUUCAAUUAAUGCUUUUCACAGAAGUUCAGGUUUUAAACAUCUCCCCCUCUCUUCCCAGGUCUGUUACAUUUCCCAGAAUGGUUCCCAGCGCUGGAGAUAAUUCCUUUUCGGAGAACCUACAUUUCUCACCUGCUGAUUGCAAUUAGCCACUGCCAGCUGGGGCCUGGUGUGCAGCUGAAAAGCUAACAAGAAGUGGAGACCACGCGGAACCCAGACAGGGCAGAGGAUGCGACUGAAUAAGGAAUGGUGCCCAUGUUUAUGAGCCGCUCCUGUGAAUUAAGAUUGAAGACUCCAUUGUCUUGUCAUCCAUUGUUGGAGAUGAGCAGUCUGCUGCUUAUCUUGAAUGGGAGUUUGGUCAGAAGUGAGUGUUCCAGAUCAAUGAGAAGCUCAGCUUCAAGCACUUGUGCGAGACCCCAGACCAAGAGUGGCUCUGCCAUCUUCAGCACAUGGCUUCCAAAGUUACUCUAGUCCACUGCUGUCCAAUAGAAUAUUUUAUGAUGAUGGAAAUGUUCUAUCUUUAUUUGUGCUGUUCAAUAUAGUAACCACUAGCCACAUGUGGCUAUUUAACACUUGAAUUGUGG
ensembl:lncRNA